rnacentral:rRNA from 1 species
CACGUAGUUAGCCGGGGCUUCUUAGUCAGGUACCGUCAUUUUCUUCCCUGCUGAUAGAGCUUUACAUACCGAAAUACUUCUUCACUCACGCGGCGUCGCUGCAUCAGGGUUUCCCCCAUUGUGCAAUAUUCCCCACUGCUGCCUCCCGUAGGAGUUUGGGCCGUGUCUCAGUCCCAAUGUGGCCGGUCAUCCUCUCAGGUCGGCUACUGAUCGUCGGCUUGGUAGGCCGUUACCCCACCAACUACCUAAUCAGACGCGGGUCCAUCUCAUACCGUCAAGGCUUUGGCCCCCUGUGCCAUGCGGCACUGUGGUCUUAUGCGGUAUUAGCAGUCAUUUCUAACUGUUAUCCCCCUGUAUGAGGCAGGUUACCCACGCGUUACUCACCCGUCCGCCACUCAGUCAUAGAAGACUUCCUUACCGAAAAUUCCGUCUUCCAUGCUUCGUUCGACUUGCUAUGUGUUAAGCCACGCCGCCAGCCGUUCAUCCUGACGCCGAGGAUCAAACCUCUA